rnacentral:rRNA from 1 species
AUUGAACGCUGGCGGCAGGCCUAACACAUGCAAGUCGAGCGAGUGGCGGACGGGUGAGAAAUGUCUGGGAAACUGCCCGAUGGAGGGGGAUAACUACUGGAAACGGUAGCUAAUACCGCAUACCAUCGGAUGUGCCCAGAUGGGAUUAGCUGGUAGGUGAGGUAACGGCUCACCUAGGCGACGAUCCCUAUCUGGUCUGAUGGGAUGACCAGCCACACUGGGACUGAGACACGGUCCAGACUCCUACGGGAGGCAGCAGUGGGGAAUAUUGCACAAUGGGCGCAAGCCUGAUGCAGCCAUGCCGCUUGUAUUAAGAAGGCCUUCGGGUUGUAAAGUACUUUCAGCUGGGAGGCGUUACCCGCAGAAGAAGCACCGGCUAACUCCGUGCCAGCAGCCGCGGUAAUUC